rnacentral:rRNA from 1 species
CUAUUCACGAAAGCUUGAGGUGUGACAGGGAUUAGAUACCCCAUUAAUUCAAGUGAUAAAUCAUGGCUUAUUGUAGAUUGGAUCUAUUUUUAACAUGUGAUCUUUAUCAACUUAAGGAGGAGGCUUUCAUUUUUGAAACUUAAGUGUUCUGGUGGUGAUUUUGAACAAUAGUGGAAUAGAUGAUUUAAUUCGAUCUUAUGCGAUAAAGCUUAUCUG